rnacentral:rRNA from 1 species
UCAAGCGAACAAGUGCAUGUGGUGGAUGCCUUGGCGAUCACAGGCGAUGAAGGACGCGGUAGCCUGCGAAAAGCUUCGGGGAGCUGGCAAACAAGCUUUGAUCCGGAGAUGUCCGAAUGGGGAAACCCGGCCCGUAUGGGUCAUCCCUGACUGAAUCCAUAGGUCAGGGAAGCGAACGCGGCGAACUGAAACAUCUAAGUAGCUGCAGGAACAGAAAUCAACCGAGAUUCCCAAAGUAGUGGCGAACGAAAUGGGAAGAGCCUUGUACUCUUUAGCAGUGGUGUUAGCAGAACGGGAUGGAAAGCCCGGCCAUAGCAGGUGAUAGCCCUGUAUGCGAAAACACGAUUGUGGAACUAGGUGUACGACAAGUAGGGCGGGACACGUGAAAUCCUGUCUGAAGAUGGGGGGACCAUCCUCCAAGGCUAAAUACUCGUGAUCGACCGAUAGUGAACCAGUACCGUGAGGGAAAGGCGAAAAGAACCCCGGGAGGGGAGUGAAAUAGAUCCUGAAACCGCAUGCAUACAAACAGUCGGAGCCCCGCUUUAAGCGCUUUCGGCGAUUUUCACGCCAGUGAAAAUCGUCAAAAGACCCCAGUGUGAAAUAGCACCACUGGCGCGCAAAGCGGUUUAAGCGCGAGAGCGCUUAAAGCGGGGUGACGGCGUACCUUUUGUAUAAUGGGUCAGCGACUUACAUUCAGUGGCAAGCUUAACCGAUUAGGGAAGGCGUAGCGAAAGCGAGUCCGAACAGGGCGUUGAGUCGCUGGGUGUAGACCCGAAACCAGAUGAUCUAUCCAUGGCCAGGUUGAAGGUGCGGUAACACGUACUGGAGGACCGAACCCACUAACGUUGAAAAGUUAGGGGAUGAGCUGUGGAUAGGGGUGAAAGGCUAAACAAAUCUGGAAAUAGCUGGUUCUCUCCGAAAACUAUUUAGGUAGUGCCUCGUGUCUCACCUUCGGGGGUAGAGCACUGUCAUGGUUGGGGGGUCUAUUGCUGAUUACCCCGCCAUAGCAAACUCCGAAUACCGAAGAGUGCAAUCACGGGAGACAGACAUCGGGUGCUAACGUCCGGUGUCAAGAGGGAAACAACCCAGACCGCCAGCUAAGGUCCCCAAAUAUAGCUAAGUGGGAAACGAAGUGGGAAGGCUAAAACAGUCAGGAGGUUGGCUUAGAAGCAGCCACCCUUUAAAGAAAGCGUAAUAGCUCACUGAUCGAGUCGUCCUGCGCGGAAGAUGUAACGGGGCUAAGCUAUAUACCGAAGCUGCGGACGCACGCAAGUGCGUGGUAGGAGAGCGUUCUGUAAGCCUGUGAAGGUGUCUUGUAAAGGAUGCUGGAGGUAUCAGAAGUGCGAAUGCUGACAUGAGUAGCGAUAAAGGGGGUGAAAGGCCCCCUCGCCGUAAGCCCAAGGUUUCCUACGCAACGUUCAUCGGCGUAGGGUGAGUCGGCCCCUAAGGCGAGGCAGAGAUGCGUAGCUGAUGGGAAGCAGGUUAAUAUUCCUGCACCGUCGUAUGAUGCGAUGGGGGGACGGAUCGCGGAAGGUUGUCCGGGUGUNAAUACCGAAGAGUGCAAUCACGGGAGACAGACAUCGGGUGCUAACGUCCGGUGUCAAGAGGGAAACAACCCAGACCGCCAGCUAAGGUCCCCAAAUAUAGCUAAGUGGGAAACGAAGUGGGAAGGCUAAAACAGUCAGGAGGUUGGCUUAGAAGCAGCCACCCUUUAAAGAAAGCGUAAUAGCUCACUGAUCGAGUCGUCCUGCGCGGAAGAUGUAACGGGGCUAAGCUAUAUACCGAAGCUGCGGACGCACGCAAGUGCGUGGUAGGAGAGCGUUCUGUAAGCCUGUGAAGGUGUCUUGUAAAGGAUGCUGGAGGUAUCAGAAGUGCGAAUGCUGACAUGAGUAGCGAUAAAGGGGGUGAAAGGCCCCCUCGCCGUAAGCCCAAGGUUUCCUACGCAACGUUCAUCGGCGUAGGGUGAGUCGGCCCCUAAGGCGAGGCAGAGAUGCGUAGCUGAUGGGAAGCAGGUUAAUAUUCCUGCACCGUCGUAUGAUGCGAUGGGGGGACGGAUCGCGGAAGGUUGUCCGGGUGUUGGAAGUCCCGGUCCCUGUAGUGGAGAAGGCGCUUAGGCAAAUCCGGGCGCGGAAUUCAAGGCUAUGGGGCGAGCGGCCUAGUGCUGCGAAGCAAUUGGAAGUGGUUCCAAGAAAAGCCUCUAAGCUUCAGUCAUACGAGACCGUACCGCAAACCGACACAGGUGGGCGAGAUGAGUAUUCUAAGGCGCUUGAGAGAACUCGGGAGAAGGAACUCGGCAAAUUGGUACCGUAACUUCGGGAUAAGGUACGCCCUGGUAGCUUGACUGGCCUGCGCCAGAAGGGUGAAGGGGUUGCAAUAAAAUGGUGGCUGCGACUGUUUAAUAAAAACACAGCACUCUGCAAACACGAAAGUGGACGUAUAGGGUGUGACGCCUGCCCGGUGCCGGAAGAUUAAAUGAUGGGGUGCAAGCUCUUGAUUGAAGUCCCGGUAAACGGCGGCCGUAACUAUAACGGUCCUAAGGUAGCGAAAUUCCUUGUCGGGUAAGUUCCGACCUGCACGAAUGGCGUAACGAUGGCCACACUGUCUCCUCCCGAGACUCAGCGAAGUUGAAGUGUUUGUGAUGAUGCAAUCUCCCCGCGGCUAGACGGAAAGACCCCAUGAACCUUUACUGUAGCUUUGCAUUGGACUUUGAACCGAUCUGUGUAGGAUAGGUGGGAGGCUUUGAAGCGUGGACGCUAGUUCACGUGGAGCCGUCCUUGAAAUACCACCCUGGUUUGUUUGAGGUUCUAACCUUGGCCCGUGAAUCCGGGUCGGGGACAGUGCAUGGUAGGCAGUUUGACUGGGGCGGUCUCCUCCCAAAGUGUAACGGAGGAGUUCGAAGGUACGCUUGGUACGGUCGGACAUCGUACCUAAAGUGCAAUGGCAAAAGCGUGCUUAACUGCGAGACCGACAAGUCGAGCAGGUGCGAAAGCAGGACAUAGUGAUCCGGUGGUUCUGAAUGGAAGGGCCAUCGCUCAACGGAUAAAAGGUACUCUGGGGAUAACAGGCUGAUACCGCCCAAGAGUUCAUAUCGACGGCGGUGUUUGGCACCUCGAUGUCGGCUCAUCUCAUCCUGGGGCUGUAGCCGGUCCCAAGGGUAUGGCUGUUCGCCAUUUAAAGAGGUACGUGAGCUGGGUUUAAAACGUCGUGAGACAGUUUGGUCCCUAUCUGCCGUGGGCGUUGGAAUCUUGACGGGGGCUGCUCCUAGUACGAGAGGACCGGAGUGGACGUACCGCUGGUGUACCUGUUGUCUCGCCAGAGGCAUCGCAGGGUAGCUAUGUACGGAAGAGAUAACCGCUGAAAGCAUCUAAGCGGGAAACUCGCCUGAAGAUGAGGAUUCCCUGGAGGCUUGACCUCCUUGAAGGGUCGUUCGAGACCAGGACGUUGAUAGGCUGGGUGUGGAAGCGCAGUAAUGCGUUAAGCUAACCAGUACUAAUUGCCCGUAAGGCUUGAUCCU